CUGGUCCUGGACGUUUGUUUGUUGGACGUUGUUAAAUCACAGUUUCAGUUUCGGUUCUUGUGAUUGGUCUGUUCAUCUUUUCUAUUUCGUCUUGGUUUUUAGUCUUGGAAGAUUGUGCCUUUCAAAGAAUUUGUCCAUUUCUUGUAGGUUUUCUGUUUGAUUGGCGUAUAGUUGCAUAUAUAGUAGUCUCUUAGGCUCCUUUGUGUUUCUGUGAUGUCUGCUGUUACUGCUCCUUUUUCAUUUCUACUUUUCUUGAUUUGAGUGCUCUCUCUCUCUUUUUCUGGAUAAGUCUGGCUAAGGGUUUAUCGAUUUUGUUGAUCUUUUCAAAGAACCAGCUUUUCGUUUCAUUGAUCUUUUCGAUGGUUUUCUUUGUUUCUAGUUCAUUGAUUUCUGCUCUGAGCUUGAUGAUCUCUUUCCUUCUGCUGACUUUAGGUCUUGUCUGUUCUUCUCUCUCUAGGUGCUUUAGAUGUAAAGUUAGCUUGUUUGUUUGAGCUUUUUCUUGUUUCCUGAGGUGGGCUCGUAUUGCUGCGAACUUUCCUCUUAGAAUGGCUUUUGCCGUAUGUAUCCCAUAGGUUUUGGAGUGUCGUAGCUUUGUUGUCAUUUGCUUGUAGGUAUUUUUUAAUUUCCACUUUGAUUUCUUCAGUGAUCCAUUGGUUGUUUCGUAACAUGUUGUUGAGUCUCCCUGUGUUUGUGUUUUUUGCAGUUUUUUUCUUGUUGUUGAUUUCCAGCCAUAUAGCGUUGAGGUCGGAAAAGAUGCUUGACAUGAUUUCAGUUUUCUUAAAGUUCCCGAGAUUUGAUUUGUAGCCCAGGAUGUGAUCCAUGUUAGAGAGUGCUCCGGGUGCACUUGAGAAGCAUGUGCAUUCUGUUGCUUUUGGAUGGAAUGUCCUAUAAAUAUCUAUUUAGUCCAUCUGGUGUAAUGCAGCAUUCGGGGCCUGUGUUUCCGUAUUGAUUUUCUGUCUGGAUGAUCUGUCCAUAGCUGAAAGUGGGUGUUAACGUCCCCCACUAUUAUUGUGUUAUUGUUGAUCUGUGCUUUUAAGGUUGUUUGUUAGCAGUUGCCUGAUGUAUUGUGGUGAACCUGUGUUGGGUGUGUAGAUGUUUAAAAUGGUUAUAUCUUCUUCUUGGAUUGAUCCUUUGAUCAUUAUGUAGUGACCUUCCUUGUCCCUUAAAAUAGUCUUCAUUUUAAAGUCUAUUUUGUGUGUUAUGAGUAUUGGUACUCCAGCUUUCUUUUGAUUCCCAUUUGCAUGGAACAUUUUCCUCCAUCCUCUCAUUUUCAAUUUGUGUGUGUUCCUAGAAGUGAAGUGGGUCUCUGGAAGACAGCAUAUGUAUGGAUCUUGCUUUUGUAUGCAUUCAGCCGGUCUGUGUCUUUUGGUUGGGGCGUUCAGUCCGUUAACAUUUCGGGUAAUUAUUGAUAUGUAUGUUCUUAUUGCCAUUUUAUUAAUUGCUUUGGAUUUGUUUGUGUUGCUCUUUUUUCUUCCCUUCUUGUUCUCUCCUCUUGUGGUUUGAUGACUGUCUUUAGUGUUGCAUUUGAGUUGAUGUUUCUUAUUUUUUUGUGUAUCAGUUGUAGAUGUUUGGUUUGCACUUAUUCUGAAGUUUUGAUAUGAGUCUCUCUCUAUAUGAGAUAGUUUUAAGUUGUGGGUCUCUUAAUUGCAAGUGCAUCUCCAGUGUCCUGCAUUUGUACGCUGCUCUUCUCAGGAUGUCUGAUUUUGGUGGCCUAAUUGUGCGUGGGUGAUUUUGUAUCUUUACUGUAUGUAUACCUUGACUGGUGAGCCUUGUCAUCUGUGGAAUUUUUGUUUCCUGUUGUGGCCUUUUCUCUUCUGCCUGGAGAAGUUCCUUUAGUAUUUGUUGUAAAGCUGGUUUAGUGUUGCUGAAUUCUCUCAGCCUUUGCUUAUCUGUGAAGCUUUUGAUUUCUCCUUGAAAUCUGCAUGAGAGCCUUGCUGGGGAAAGUAAUCUUGGUUGGCGGUUUUUCCCUUUCAUCACGUUGAGUGUAUCAUGCCACUCCCUUCUGGGCUGCAGAGUUUCAGCUGAAAAAUCUGCCGAUAACCUUAUCGGGGUUCCCUUGUCUGUUAUUUGUUUCUUUUCCCUAGCUGCUUUCAGUAUUUUCUCUCUGUCUUUAAUUUUGGUCCGUUGGGUUAGUAUGUGUCUCCUUGGGUUUCCUCCUCGGGUUUAUUUUAUAUGGUAGCCGUUGCGCUUCCUGGAUUUGAGUGAGGGGUUCCUUUCCCAUGUUGGGGAAGUUUUUGGCUAUUGUCUCUUUGAGUAUUUUUUCUGUCCCCUUCUCUCUCUCUUCUCCUUCUGGCACCCCUAUGAUACGGAUGUUGGUGCGUUUCACGUUGUCCCAGAGUUCUCUGAGACUCUCUUCAUUUGUUUUCGAUCUUUUUUCUCUUUUCUGUUCCCGAUCCGUAAUUUCCACUCGUCUGUCCUCCACCUUGCUUAUUUCUUCUUCUGCCUCCCGUAUUCUGCUGUUAGCUGCGUCUAGUGAAUUUUUUAUUUCAGGUAUUGUAUUUUGCAUCUCUUCUUGUUCACGUUUUCUAUCUUGUAUCUCUUUGGUCAGCGUUUCCUGUAAGUUAUCCGUCUUUGCCUCCAGUUUAUGUCCAACGUCUUGCAUCAUCUUCAGCAUCAACAGGCUCAAGUCUUUUGCCUGGAGGCUGAGAAUCUCCUGAUCACUUAGCUGAUUUUCGGUGGUUUCUUCUUUCGCCCUCAUCUGAGUUACAGUUUUGUGUCUUUUCAUUUCGAUAGUUUUUUGGUGUGGUGAUCUUUUUACAGAUAAUAGAGUUGUAGCCUCUCUUGCUUCUGUUGUCUGCCUCCCUUGUGGCUGAAGUUGGUAUGGGGGCUUGCUGUAGGCUUCUUGAUGGGGGUGGGUGCUGAUGCCUGCCCAUGGGUAGGUGGAGCUGAUUCCUAUCCCUCUGGUGGGUGGCGCUUAGUCUCUGGAUGGGGUUAGCGGCUGCUGUGUGCCUGGGGGGUCUUUAGGCUGCCUGUUUACUGAGGGGCAGGGCUGUGAUCCCACCUGGACUGUUGUUUGCCCUGGGGCUUCUCAGUGCUGAUGAGUGGGGCCAGGUUUUCCCAAAAUGGCCCCCUCCAGAGAAAGGCACUGCUGUUGAAUAUUCCCAAGAGUUCUCCUUCCAAUGUCCUUCCCCCACAACAAGCCACAUUCACCCCUGUUUUCCCAGGAUGUCCUCCACGAACUGCAGUCAAGUUUGACCCAGAUGCCUAUGGAGACUUUGCUUUGCCCUGGGACCCAG
rnacentral:lncRNA from 1 species